UGCAACUCGCCUGCAUGAAGUCGGAAUUGCUAGUAAUCGCAGAUCAGCAUGCUGCGGUGAAUACGUUCCCGGGCCUUGUACACACCGCCCGUCACACCAUGGGAGUCGGUAACACCCAAAGUUGGUAGCCUAACCGCAAGGAGGGCGCCGCCUAAGGUGGGAUUGAUGACUGGGGUGAAGUCGUAACAAGGUAUC
rnacentral:rRNA from 1 species